rnacentral:misc_RNA from 1 species
AAAAAAAAAAAAAAAGAUAAAAAGGUGAAAUUGUUAACACAUCCAUGGCUCUAGCAUUUUACUUUCAUACAAAAUAACCAUCGUAAUUCAGCGUUGAGCAUUCUACUCCACAUUUUUUUAACAUGCUUUUUUCAUUGUUGAGAAAAGGUAAACAGCACAUUUGAGAUGGCAUCAAGAUAAAGUUAUUUCUUUCACAAUUAUAUGGCGAUAGGAUCUCCAUCAUCCAUUACAAAGAAGCUUCAAACUGCCUCUUUCAUUUAUCAUUAGAUGCCUGUCAGGUAUACAGGCCAAAUGUCCAAUGGUUUUAUUCUUUUUUUUUUUUUAACCAUUAUUAAUAUUCUUUGAAUUAAAAGUCAAUUAUUAGAAAAUGGGAUUUGUAGUAGAGGCAAUCUGGCUGCCAGGUGAAUUUGACUUGUAUCAGUAUGAAGUUAUUGCGUGAAACUAGUAAACCAACCUCAAACCCACCUCUGAAUUAACUGAGCAGCCAUCAAGCUUAUUUCAAACUGGUAGGUCAUGUCCUUAGCUUGAAAGGUCAAUGAGAAUGUUUCCAGAGAAGAAUCCUUGGGACUGUCUAUUAAUAGUUUAGUUUUAGAAGGGUCUUCCAUGAGAUAUUUCAGAUUAGGGGUCAUCCAUUUAUUUUUAGUUUUAUUCAAUUCAUAUGUCAGGUUCAUAGGUUUUAGCACUUGACUUAUGGGUUUGAUCUACCUGUUUUCUUUCAAAAGAUAUCUGAGAAUUAGAUAAGUGUUACAAGAAUUGUCGUGGGACUCUGCAUACAGAUACCAGUGAACUAGUGGGUAGGAAUCAAAAUCAGCAGAGGAAAACUAAAGUGCAUGUUUCCAAAGUUUUGGAACCAUUUCCAGUACUAGUCCUGAAGUGAGGAGAGAGAUUACUAAACUCACUAGUGCUAUCAAAAUACCAAAAUUUUGAAGGAACGAGAUAGCUAUGAAAAUUCAGCAGCUUCUAGUGCACAAAUCUCAUAUGUUCACAACAUCCUAAUAUGUUUCCUACCCCCUCACAAUGAACUAUAUGUGGACUACAAC